AUGAAUGUAGCAACCGGCGCCAUUGGCGACCUGCUCCCCAAGCUGAUCGAGCUCCUCAAGAAGGAGUACAUGCUGAAGGACAAGGUCAGGGAAGGCGUCGAGUCUCUUGAGAAAGAGAUGAGGAGCAUGCACGCUGCCCUCCGCAAGGUGGCGGAGGUGCCACGGGAGCAGCUUGGCGAGCAGGGGAAGGCUCGCCAUGAGAUCGCUGAUGCACUCAAGGAGAUUAGUAACCAAACCCAAGAGGUCGCUGACAGGCAUGUUAGGUACAAUGUCGGCGGCACGGUGCUUCGCCUAGCCAAAGACCUCGCUGAGAACAAUCGCGGCGCGCGCGUGCUGGUGGUCUGCUCGGAGAUCACCGUGGUGACCUUCCGUCGACCGCACGAGUCCCACCUCGACUCGCUGGUUGGUCGGCACUCUUCGGUGACGGUGCAGCCGCGCUAA
rnacentral:rRNA from 1 species